AGUCAAGGCGGUAGGACGAGCAAUCGUAAUACCGACUGGCGCACGGGUGCGGAACACGUAGGUAAUCUGCCCUUUAGGGGAGAACAACCAGCCGAAAGGUUGGCUAAAUCUCCGUAACAUCAGUGAGUGGCAUCACUCGUUGAUCAAGCUUUCUAAAGGAUGAGCCUGCGUCUGAUUAGCUAGUUGGUAGUGUAACGGACUACCAAGGCUACGAUCAGUAGCUGGUCUGAGAGGAUGAUCAGCCACAUUGGGACUGAGACACGGCCCAGACUCCUACGGGAGGCAGCAGUGAGGAAUAUUGCUCAAUGGACGAAAGUCUGAAGCAGCAACGCCGCGUGAGGGAUGAAGGUGCUCUGCAUUGUAAACCUCUGUAGUCGGGGACAAAUGGUGGGUUACUACCCACGUGAUGGUACCCGAAAAGUAAGGAUCGGCUAACUACGUGCCAGCAGCCGCGGUAAUACGUAGGAUCCAAGCGUUGUCCGGAUUUACUGGGUGUAAAGGGUGCGCAGGCGGGCUCGUUAGUCAGGAGUGAAAUCUCGGCGCUUAACGCCGAAACUGCUUUUGAUACUGCGAGUCUUGAAUCAGCGAGAGACGUGUGGAAUUCCGAGUGUAGCAGUGAAAUGUGUAGAUAUUCGGAAGAACACCAGUGGCGAAGGCAGCACGUUGGCGCUCGAUUGACGCUCAGGCACGAAAGCAUGGGGAUCAAACAGGAUUAGAUACCCUG
rnacentral:rRNA from 1 species